rnacentral:rRNA from 1 species
AGUGAACGCUGGCGGUAGGCCUAACACAUGCAAGUCGAACGGCAGCACAGUAAGAGCUUGCUCUUACGGGUGGCGAGUGGCGGACGGGUGAGGAAUACAUCGGAAUCUACUUUUUCGUGGGGGAUAACGUAGGGAAACUUACGCUAAUACCGCAUACGACCUACGGGUGAAAGCAGGGGAUCUUCGGACCUUGCGCGAUUGAAUGAGCCGAUGUCGGAUUAGCUAGUUGGCGGGGUAAAGGCCCACCAAGGCGACGAUCCGUAGCUGGUCUGAGAGGAUGAUCAGCCACACUGGAACUGAGACACGGUCCAGACUCCUACGGGAGGCAGCAGUGGGGAAUAUUGGACAAUGGGUGCAAGCCUGAUCCAGCCAUACCGCGUGGGUGAAGAAGGCCUUCGGGUUGUAAAGCCCUUUUUUUGGGAAAGAAAAGCAGCAGGUUAAUACCCCGCUGUUCUGACGGUACCCAAAGAAUAAGCACCGGCUAACUUCGUG